rnacentral:rRNA from 1 species
UACAGAGGGUGCUAGCGUUGUUCGGAAUCAUUGGGCGUAAAGCGCGCGUAGGCGGCCAGAUAAGUCCGGUGUGAAAGUCACAGGCUCAACCUGUGAAUGCCGCUGGAAACUGUCUGGCUAGAGUCCGGAAGGGGCGAGUGGAAUUCCUGGUGUAGCGGUGAAAUGCGCAGAUAUCAGGAGGAACACCAAUGGCGAAGGCAGCUCGCUGGAACGGUACUGACGCUGAGGCGCGAAAGCGUGGGGAGCGAACAGG